UACACUCCUGCGGGAGGCAGCAGUGGGGAAUAUUGCACAAUGGGCGCAAGCCUGAUGCAGCCAUGCCGCGUGUAUGAAGAAGGCCUUCGGGUUGUAAAGUACUUUCAGCGGGGAGGAAGGCGAUAAGGUUAAUAACCUUGUCGAUUGACGUUACCCGCAGAAGAAGCACCGGCUAACUCCGUGCCAGCAGCCGCGGUAAUACGGAGGGUGCAAGCGUUAAUCGGAAUUACUGGGCGUAAAGCGCACGCAGGCGGUCUGUCAAGUCGGAUGUGAAAUCCCCGGGCUCAACCUGGGAACUGCAUUCGAAACUGGCAGGCUAGAGUCUUGUAGAGGGGGGUAGAAUUCCAGGUGUAGCGGUGAAAUGCGUAGAGAUCUGGAGGAAUACCGGUGGCGAAGGCGGCCCCCUGGACAAAGACUGACGCUCAGGUGCGAAAGCGUGGGGAGCAAACAGGAUUAGAAACCCUUGUAGUCCCAUG
rnacentral:rRNA from 1 species